GGAGGAAAAGAAACCAACAGGGAUUCCCCCAGUAACGGCGAGCGAACGGGGAAGAGCCCAGCGCCGAAUUCCGCGUCCCUCGUGGGCGUCUGGAAAAUGUGGCGUUUAGGAGGGAUCGUGCCGUGGGUGGAGCGUGCAGCAAGUCCCCCUGACCGGGGCUGUUACCCAGAGUGGGUGCGAGGCCCAUAGCUGCUAGGUCCCCCGCGGAUGUCACCUCUUGGGAGUCGGGUUGCUUGGGAGUGCAGCCCUAAUUGGGUGGUAAACUCCACCUAAGGCUAAAUACGGCCGUGAGACCGAUAGCAAACAAGUACCGUGAGGGAAAGUUGCAAAGAACUUUGAAGAGAGAGUUCAAGAGUACGUGAAACCGCUCAGAGGCAAACGGGUGGGCCCUCGAAAUCCGAUGGCGGGGGGAUUCAGUCAGGUGGUGCGGAGGCGUCGCCGGCCGUUCACACGGACCCGUCCAGGCCGGGCCGGUGGCGAGAGUCUCCGUCCUCCCUGACGCACUUCCUCCCGCUCGUAGGACGCCGCAACC
rnacentral:rRNA from 1 species